GUCUGUUCCUUUGUUUUUUAGUGUUACACUUUUGAGUGUAAGUGUACGAAAUUCUAUGGACAUUUGAGUGUAAAAUGACAGCGGAUGUGACAGCGGACAGUAUUAAACGAAAAUUAUCGGUGUGCCAAUCAAGCAAAGCAAAGGGAUAAGGAACUUCCGAAUAUGGCCUAACUGGGGGCACAUAACAUAACAUAACCUAAUCCUAAUAUUUACAUUUGUAAAGAAUAUCCUGUUUGUUUUUAUUGUCGAUUGUGCAGCGAAAUUGUGUGCAGCAAAUCAAAUAUAAAGUAGUUUAUCGCCUACAGAACUGAAUUAGUCCAUAGCAGUUAUCAGUUUUUCUUUCUUGGGAAGCUUAUACAUGUAACUUGUAUUGUUGUAAAUUGUGGGAGUAGGGCAGACAGGGAAAAGUCUUAUUUUGUACUGUUCCCAAGGCUCCCCAUGCAAUACAUUUACAUGAAUUAUCCAAACAAAGCUGGGGACAAUGGAUAAAAGCCACAAGAAGAACAGAUAUAAGGGAACUAAAAUUAAAAUAUGAAAAGUAAACAUUUUAUAAGUGGAACAACCACCAGAUAUUUAAAAGGUAUAAAAAGAAGAAACUGCUGGAAUUUCAAAACAAAUGUGUUUGACUAGUAAAGAUUUGGAUAAAUAACAGGAGUUACUUUGGGCUAUAGCUAAGUGCAGAUUUAUUUCCUUGUGGCUUCCUAUGUUAAUUCUUAUUAAUUAUACACUUAAAUAUGUUUUUAGUCUCAGGAAGAUUUUAUAUUUGAUUAUUUUUGAAUAAACAUUAUUAUUAUUA